AAAAAUAAAAUAAGAAAUUAGGACAUCUCCAAUGGUGAUCUCUAUAUUUUCCUCUAUUUUAGAGGUGACUCUAUUUUAGAGGUGUCUAUUGUAGUACAAUGCCUCUAAAAUAGAGUUUCCUCUAUAACAGAGAAAAAAUAGAGAUCUCUACAAUUCAACUCUAUUUUUUCUUCUAUUUUUGAAGAAACUCUAUUUUAAAGGUGACUAUUGGAUCAUAAUAUUUUUAAAAUAAAGAUGUAGCUAGUGAAUUUU
rnacentral:sRNA from 1 species